rnacentral:rRNA from 1 species
UAAGUAACGAUAAAGCGGGUGAAAAGCCCGCUCGCCGGAAGACCAAGGGUUCCUGUCCAACGUUAAUCGGGGCAGGGUGAGUCGACCCCUAAGGCGAGGCCGAAAGGCGUAGUCGAUGGGAAACAGGUUAAUAUUCCUGUACUUGGUGUUACUGCGAAGGGGGGACGGAGAAGGCUAUGUUGGCCGGGCGACGGUUGUCCCGGUUUAAGCGUGUAGGCUGGUUUUCCAGGCAAAUCCGGAAAAUCAAGGCUGAGGCGUGAUGACGAGGCACUACGGUGCUGAAGCAACAAAUGCCCUGCUUCCAGGAAAAGCCUCUAAGCAUCAGGUAACAUCAAAUCGUACCCCAAACCGACACAGGUGGUCAGGUAGAGAAUACCAAGGCGCUUGAGAGAACUCG